GGAGGGUGCAAGCGUUAAUCGGAAUUACUGGGCGUAAAGCGCACGCAGGCGGUCUGUCAAGUCGGAUGUGAAAUCCCCGGGCUCAACCUGGGAACUGCAUUCGAAACUGGCAGGCUAGAGUCUUGUAGAGGGGGGUAGAAUUCCAGGUGUAGCGGUGAAAUGCGUAGAGAUCUGGAGGAAUACCGGUGGCGAAGGCGGCCCCCUGGACAAAGACUGACGCUCAGGUGCGAAAGCGUGGGGAGCAAA
rnacentral:rRNA from 1 species